AUUGAACGCUGGCGGCAGGCCUAACACAUGCAAGUCGAAUGGUAACAGGAAACAGCUUGCUGUUUCGCUGACGAGUGGCGGACGGGUGAGUAAUGUCUGGGAAACUGCCUGAUGGAGGGGGAUAACUACUGGAAACGGUAGCUAAUACCGCAUAACGUCGCAAGACCAAAGAGGGGGCCUUCGGGCCUCUUGCCAUCAGAUGUGCCCAGAUGGGAUUAGCUAGUAGGUGGGGUAACGGCUCACCUAGGCGACGAUCCCUAGCUGGUCUGAGAGGAUGACCAGCCACACUGGAACUGAGACACGGUCCAGACCCCUACGGGAGGCAGCAGUGGGGAAUAUUGCACAAUGGGCGCAAGCCUGAUGCAGCCAUGCCGCGUGUAUGAAGAAGGCCUUCGGGUUGUAAAGUACUUUCAGCGGGGAGGAAGGGAGUAAAGUUAAUACCUUUGCUCAUUGACGUUACCCGCAGAAGAAGCACCGGCUAACUCCGUG
rnacentral:rRNA from 1 species